CUCAGAAGGACCUAUGGUCAGCAAGCUAGGGAUGAAGAGGCAGCCUGCUUCAUAAAAGAGAGAAAAAAGAAGAACCAGUCGAUCGACUUUUGAAGACUGUCACUUAGGAGACUUCCCAGGACUCCCAAUAGCCGCAAGCAAGUUCAAUGGCUCCCCUUUGCUCUGUCAUCAAUAUGGUGUAGGCAAGAAAAAUAAAUGCAUUUCCAUUGAUACAGAGCUCCUGGGAAAUCAAUGGCAAGCUGGACACUGGGUUGGGGGUGUGGUUCAGUAGCUCAGAGCAUGCCAACCAUGGGUUAGGCACUGAGAAUCAUCUCUAGAACUGCAAAAAUAAAUGACUAAAUAACCGA